AGCUCAAAUGGUAGAGCACAUGCUUAGCAUGCAUGAGGUCCUGGGAUCAAUCCCCAG
rnacentral:tRNA from 1 species